AGGAUUCAGUUGAAUAGAAGGAAAUUAAGAACUUGGCAAGAUGAACUCUGACGAAGAAGCUGUCAGUGCUGUGUCAAGACUUGCCCAGGAAAAUGCCGAGCUUCGAGAGCAGUUGCGGGAACUCUCCGAAAAGACUGCGCUCGAGAUGGAGGAACUGAGAAGGGCUCUCGACAAGG